GCAAGUCGAAUGAGCUCUUUCGGGAGUUAGUGGCGGACGGGUGAGUAACGCGUGAGGAUCUGCCCAAAGGAUGGGGACAACAGCGGGAAACUGCUGCUAAGACCCAAUGUGCCGAGAGGUGAAAUAUUUAUAGCCUUUGGAUGAACUCGCGUCUGAUUAGCUAGUUGGUGAGGUAAGAGCUUACCAAGGCGACGAUCAGUAGCUGGUCUGAGAGGACGAUC
rnacentral:rRNA from 1 species